AGUGAACGCUGGCGGUAGGCCUAACACAUGCCAGUCGAACGGCAGCACAGUAAGAGCUUGCUCUUACGGGUGGCGAGUGGCGGACGGGUGAGGAAUACAUCGGAAUCUACUUUUUCGUGGGGGAUAACGUAGGGAAACUUACGCUAAUACCGCAUACGACCUACGGGUGAAAGCAGGGGAUCUUCGGACCUUGCGCGAUUGAAUGAGCCGAUGUCGGAUUAGCUAGUUGGCGGGGUAAAGGCCCACCAAGGCGACGAUCCGUAGCUGGUCUGAGAGGAUGAUCAGCCACACUGGAACUGAGACACGGUCCAGACUCCUACGGGAGGAAGCAGUGGGGAAUAUUGGACAAUGGGCGCAAGCCUGAUCCAGCUAUACCGCGUGGGUGAAGAAGGCCUUCGGGUUGUAAAGCCCUUUUGUUGGGAAAGAAAAGCAGCAGGUUAAUACCCCGCUGUUCUGACGGUACCCAAAGAAUAAGCACCGGCUAACUUCGUG
rnacentral:rRNA from 1 species